AUUUCUUCUCUAUAUUCAUUUUCUUCCACGCACAUAUAACAGGUAUUCUCUACAAAUUAUUUCUGCAGAAUUAAUACACCACAACUCAUCUUCAUCUUCAUAUUUCUGCAGAACCACAGCUCAUCUUCAUAAUUCUACAGAACCAACACACCACUGCCUGCUCAUCUUCUUGAAGGUCUAAUCUAAUUCUAAACCAUGGCAAAUAUUAUUUGUACGCAUACACUCACAUAAAUCAUCCUUUACCUGAGACAUAUAUGACUAUAUGAGACUCUUUGAAUUAGAACCAUAUAAAGAAAUUGAAACAAUACAUUGCAGAAAAGAAAGAAACCUCUUAAUCUUGUUAAAGCUCUAAACUUUUUGUGCUUGAUUCUUGUUGUGAGUGUUGGUGUGUGGCGUGAGUCGGGGAUGUAGCAGGGCAGAGGGGCCUCGGCGGCGGCGGUAGCGGUGCUGCUGCCCACUCGGAUGAGAGAGCGAUGGAGAUGGAGGUGGUGGAGAGCAGCGGCGGCCGCCGUGGGGCUGGUGCUGUCCGACCAGAGGAGAGGAUAAGGCGGCGGCGAUUCUCGUCGUUCGCCGUGAGAAGAGAGGACGGUAGCCGUGGGUUCUCCUGCGGUUGUCGUUGCUACGUCGGAGAGAGGCGAGGGGCGACGGCGGCGGCCAGCCGCUGCUGUCAGCCGGACGUUGGAGAAGGCGGCGUGGGUGAGAAGAGAGGGAGAAAGGGGAGAAAAUUAGGGAUUUAGGGAGAAGGGAAUUUUAGGGAUUUGAGGCGUGGAGAGUCAGGGUAGGAAGGAGAGGUGGUGGCCGGCUGGAAAAGCGGCGGCGACGGCCGCCGGAGUUGCAGGAGCAGCCGGGCCGUGCGCGGGGGAGAGACGAGACAGGGAGAGAGAGGGUCGAGCGAUGGAUAGAUGAGGGAAGGGAGCAAGGUCGAAGGGGGAAGAGAGAGGAGGCAGGGCCGCCGGCCUCCGGCUACGGCGUGCCGUCCGGUGGCGGCGGCAGGAAGAAACGUGAGGCAGAAAGGGAGAGGGAGGAAUUUCAGUGUGUGUGCGUGUGCUGAAAUGUGUGUGCGUGUGUUAAUGUGUGUGUGAGAGUGUGUGUGUUCUGUGAAAGAAAGGGAGAAUAGGAAUUAAGAAGAAAAUGUGUUGGGCCUUUGCAAUUUAUUGAAUAUGGGCUUUAGUCUUUACAUUACUAGACUUGAUUGAAAAUGGGUUUAGUUGUUUAUAAUUAUUUCACGAUUUAAUAUUUGUUGAUUAAUGGAAUAGUAUGACCUAUAAUGAGAAUUAUUUGAUUUGUGAUUACUGGGAUUAUAAUCAAUUUAGAUUGAUUAGAAAGUAUUAAUUCAUGACACACUUGAUUCAUGAAUUGAUGAAUGAAAUUGUAUCAAAAUUUUAUUACGUGCAUAUAGUUUAAUGUAAUUUAUAUGUUAUUUGGUUAAUGUAUUUAUGAAAUUAUAUUGUGACUAUGAAAGAAAAAUAUUUAUGCAUUGACAUUCUUUUAAGUUAAAAGUUUUAUGCAAAGUCAAGCAAAGAGAUUGUUGGUACUCUUAGCUGAAAAUUGAUUUUUAAGAUUUUAAAGUGAGUUUUAAAAAUCCGGGCAUAGCGAAUCAGAAUUUAGUAGCCUCACUUUGCUAAUAUCUAAGGCUAGUAUCACGAGACCUAUUAAGUUUAGAUUAUCUUGUAGGCUCAGUUGACCAAGUGGAUUAGCAUUGCUUUUACGAGACAAGUUACGUUUGACUUCGGACUUUGUCCAAUUAAGGUUGAUCGGUUGGUGCAGAUGGGGUUGAGCUGAGGCUUGGAUUUUGCUUCGUCUUUUGCUUCCGCUAACGACUAGCUUGUUAUCUUAUCUUUCAAUCCCUUAAACUAAGAUAUUCUAUCAUAUGGUGCAGUAUUAUCUUGUUGAGCUUAGACUCUUAAUUCGUAUUUCUAUUAAUGAAGUCAUCAUUGAUUAUGAUCAGAGUCGCGAAACUAAACUUAUGUGAUCCUGUGAGGUUCAAUAUUAUCAAUUGAUUGGCAUCACUCAAUGCCUUUCGUUUUAUCUCUUCAAAUUAUGAAUAACCCAUUUAAAAAGGGUAAGUUGUCAAGUUUAUUCAGCGCAGUCAAGUUUUCUCUUUA